CCGUCGUCGAAAUGCAGCUAAUGUGUCAAAGGUUCACCGAUAUUCCGCCACUAAUCCUUCCUGUUUAACUGCCAAAAGCUUUUCACAGAGACUCCCCUCUUGUGUCAACCAGAAGCAUAACAGCAAUUGACUUCGGAAUUGCGCCCACCUGUGGAAGGGGGUCCUGGCUUCGGUCCACUGUAACCAUGAUAAGGUCUCACCGUCCAAGCUUACCCCGACUAUACCUAAUUUUUCCUUUUCCGACAGCCCAUUGACUUCGAAGUACCUUUUUCCCUGAAAUAGCCACCCAUCUGGGUUUUCUCCACUAAAGAUGGGCAUCUCUAGCUUCCUAAUCAUUCGCCAAUUGUUCUCUUCUCUGUUCGGUCCAAAUUUGCCCAUGUCACUAUCGACACUAGCCUCAGAUAGCCCUUCCGACCACUUUCCCCUAUCUGGGGCUCUUUGAUCUGCCCGGAAUGUACUGGCUGGAACCAGCCCUUCUGUGACACUGCCAGAACUUCCUCCUUCAAAACUCUUAUUCGCCCCUACCUUCAAAUUAGCCAACGCCGCCACCGCCUUUUGGGUUUCUUCCUGGGAUUGCAGAAGUUUGGCCACAUUCUGUGCAAGAUGUUCCAUUGCUUUCUCCAAUCCUUGUAGCUUCUGGAGCUCUGUCCUUACUUCCUCCAUUUCUUUCUCCAAGGCUUCCAACUUAGUCUUGGUUUUCUUUUGAGCCAUUAGGAUCCACUGUCUUGAUACCAAUUUGUUAAGACACUAUUCAGGAAAUAAAAUGAAUUGGGUAUUGUGAACCCCUCUUUUGAUUGAUGAACAAGAGCAAUCACAAAUUCAUAUAACAAAAGCCUGUAGAAGGCCGAAAUGAAAACUCUACUCAACACUCCAAUUUCUUUUUCAGCCUUUUUCCCCCCAUACUAGCCUCUUAUUUAUAACUUUCUUUCUAACUGAUUUCCUUGCCACUUUUCCUUCCCUCAACAGCAUUCUGUUUUCUGCUUCCCUCCACCCAAUACACCCCUCUUCUUGGGCCUUCUAGAAUAUGUGAACCGGAUAGGGGGCUUAUCAAUGUUAUGCUUACUGCAUCCACCGUUUCUUGGAAGUUUACUAUUUGAGGAUUCUGCAACCUUGAGCUGUCUUCAUUGAGUCUUAUUGACUAAAUUUUAUUUCAAAGACACAAGUUUUUUUAUACUACCACUGUUUCAUGGUGUUUACAAAUGCAAAUAUUUUGCUUCAUGAUAAUGAUGAUUGAAUCUUUUGUGAAAUUAUUAGGCCCCUUGGCAGUAGUUGACGAGCACGUCAAUACAUUCUUCCAAAUUGUUUUGACGCAAUUGGUCUGAUGCUCAUGAUUCGCAUUAUACACCAGCACCAGGUGGCUGUCUAAACUUCUACCAUUAGAAUGGCUGCCAUAAAUAUUUCUUUUAAUUCAUGCAUUGCUGUAACAUAAAUUUUGAAUUUAAUUUUUUAUAGGAGUUUUCUUCUGAUCAAAUAUCUGAUGUUUUGCCUCAGAAGACCCUGUCAGGAUUUCUUGUGUGAUUGAGAUUGCCUGGAAUAAAUUUGUUUUAGUGAAUGUUUUCAAGCAUUCAAUAUCAUUUGGUUGGUCCACAAGUUACAGAGGACCACUGACGAGUUUGGUUCCUGACAAGUGAGUUCUUGGAGCAUCAGCCCCGAAUUGUUCAAGGUGGCUGCCGAUUGAGAACCUUCCCUUUUAGUAGCAUUGUGUGUGUCUCUACACAUUGUCUAAAAUUCCUUAAUAAAUUGGCAUCUGAUGUGAAUAUCUAUUGAGAUUUCAACCAUAAAGGAGACUCAUUAAGUGUUAGAUAUUGUGUUUUUCAUAUUCUUUUCAAUGGGGCAAACAGAACCUUCAAUAGUAAUGCUUUUUGACGGAAA
rnacentral:lncRNA from 1 species